rnacentral:lncRNA from 1 species
CCCCGCAUGCUCCUUUUCGGUUAGAUCGACGUUCAAUGAUGUCUCAUCGGUUGAAUUUUGUUGGACCGACGAAUAUGCGACUUUCGGUUAAACUCCGAUAUGCAGUGUGCUCUCCUCCUCCCAUAACGAAGAUGUCACUUUGAGGCCUUGUACGGCGAUAGUGUAGCUGCAACAUCCGCUGGAGCAUUCUUGGGGUAGUUCGCGCCUUCUUCCACCGUUGAAGAGUUCUGGAGCAACACACUUUAUAUAUAAAUAUAAAGAGCCAGCAAGAUGCUGGGAACAAACAAAAAGAACAAAGCAACAAAAACAAGAACAGGGACAAAGAAAAACAACAUUACAAAAGGUCUACGACAUUAAAUCCCAGCCAAUUCUCACAGCUUAUUUUCAGCAGCUUAGUCCGAUGCGUCAGCCAUAGGAAGACAUCCUAAGUUGUGAUGAAUUUUAUGCGAAGUUGUGAUGAACUUUAAACCGUACAACAUUUUGUAUAGCUUCAUAUUGUACGUCUUUCAUAUAUACGUUAGGCGAUGUAACUAUGCAACAUUGGUGUAAAUAUUUGGGUUUUAUUUAGUGUGACGCAUAUAAAUGGAUCCCGCCGCAUCACGGCGGGUGAUAAAUCCUAGU